rnacentral:tRNA from 2 species
GACUCGAUAGCCCAAUUUUCAAAGGCAGUGCUUCUAGUAAUGAUGAGGUCCCAGGUUUGAAUCCUGGUCUAGUCA